rnacentral:rRNA from 1 species
CCUACGGGUGGCAGCAGUGAGGAAUAUUGGUCAAUGGACGAGAGUCUGAACCAGCCAAGUAGCGUGAAGGAUGACUGCCCUAUGGGUUGUAAACUUCUUUUAUAUGGGAAUAAAAUGUUCCACGUGUGGGAUUUUGUAUGUACCAUAUGAAUAAGGAUCGGCUAACUCCGUGCCAGCAGCCGCGGUAAUACGGAGGAUCCGAGCGUUGUCCGGAUUUAUUGGGUUUAAAGGGAGCGUAGGUGGAUUGUUAAGUCAGUUGUGAAAGUUUGCGGCUCAACCGUAAAAUUGCAGUUGAAACUGGCAGUCUUGAGUACAGUAGAGGUGGGCGGAAUUCGUGGUGUAGCGGUGAAAUGCUUAGAUAUCACGAAGAACUCCGAUUGCGAAGGCAGUUCACUGGUCUGCAACUGACACUGAGGCUCGAAAGUGUGGGUAUCAAACAGGAUUAGAUACCCCAGUAGUC